UACGUAGGGGGCAAGCGUUGUCCGGAAUUAUUGGGCGUAAAGGGCACGCAGGCGGUGGUUUAAGUUUGGUGUUUAAUCCCAGGCUCAACCCUGGUACGCACUGAAAACUGGAUCACUUGAGUGCAGAAGAGGAGAGUGGAAUUCCACGUGUAGCGGUGAAAUGCGUAGAUAUGUGGAGGAACACCAGUGGCGAAGGCGACUCUCUGGUCUGUAACUGACGCUGAGGUGCGAAAGCGUGGGUAGCAAACAGG
rnacentral:rRNA from 1 species